CCUACGGGUGGCAGCAGUGGGGAAUAUUGCACAAUGGGGGAAACCCUGAUGCAGCGACGCCGCGUGAAGGAAGAAGUCUUUCGGUAUGUUAACUUCUAUCAGCAGGGGAGAAAAUGACUGUACCUGACUAAGUAGCCCCGUCUAACUACGUGCCAGCAGCCGCGGUACUACGUAGGGGGCAGGCGUUAUCCGGAUUUACUGGGUGUAAAGGGAGCGUAGGCGGUUAUGCAAGUCAGAAGUGAAAGCCCGCAGCUCAACUGCGGGACUGCUUUUGAAACUGUAUGACUAGAUUGCAGGAGAGGUAAGUGGAAUUCCUAGUGUAGCGGUGAAAUGCGUAGAUAUUAGGAGGAACACCAGUGGCGAAGGCGGCUUACUGGACUGUAAAUGACGCUGAGGCUCGAAAGCGUGGGGAGCAAACAGGAUUAGAUACCCUAGUAGUC
rnacentral:rRNA from 1 species